UACGUAGGGUGCAAGCGUUAAUCGGAAUUACUGGGCGUAAAGCGUGCGCAGGCGGUUUUGUAAGUCUGACGUGAAAUCCCCGGGCUUAACCUGGGAAUGGCGUCGGAGACUGCAAGGCUGGAAUCUGGCAGAGGGGGGUAGAAUUCCACGUGUAGCAGUGAAAUGCGUAGAGAUGUGGAGGAACACCGAUGGCGAAGGCAGCCCCCUGGGCUAAGAUUGACGCUCAUGCACGAAAGCGUGGGGAGCAAACAGG
rnacentral:rRNA from 1 species